rnacentral:rRNA from 1 species
GUGAACGCUGGCGGCGUGGAUUAGGCAUGCAAGUCGAGCGAUCCCGCAAGGGAUAGCGGCAAACGGGUGAGUAAUACAUGAGCAACCUGCCUUUAAGUCUAGCAUAGCUUCGUGAAAACGAAGGUAAUUCUGGAUUAUGUCAUUGGAAUGCAUGUUUUGAUGACUAAAGACUGGGACCGCAAGGCCAGUCGCUUAAAGAUGGGCUCGUGUCCUAUCAGCUAGUUGGUGAGGUAACGGCUCACCAAGGCUUUUGACGGGUAGCUGGUCUGAGAGGAUGGUCAGCCACACUGGGACUGAGACACUGCCCAGACUCCUACGGGAGGCUGCAGUCGAGGAUAUUUAGCAAUGGACGAAAGUCUGACUAUGCGACGCCGCGUGAGGGAUGAAGGUUCUCGGAUCGUAAACCUCUUUUGUCAGAGAAGAACAUUUCGACCAUAACAUGGUCGAGACUGACGGUACCUGACGAAUAAGCCACGGCCAACUCCGUGCCAGCAGCCGCGGUAAUACGGAGGUGGCAAGCGUUACUCGGAAUCAUUGGGUGUAAAGGGCAAGUAGGCGGUCUAUUAAGUGAGGGGUGAAAUCUUCCGACUCAAUCGGGAAACUGCCUUUCAAACUGAUAGACUUGAGGCAAGAAGGGGGAAAUGGAAUUCCAGGUGUAAGGGUGAAAUCUGUAGAUAUCUGGAAGAACACCGGCGGCGAAGGCGAUUUCCUGGUCUUGCCCUGACGCUGAAUUGCGAAAGCUAGGGGAGCAAACAGAAUUAGAUACUCUGGUAGUCCUAGCCGUAAACGAUGAGUACUAGGUGUUGGUCCUUCUGGGAUCAGUGCCGCAGCUAACGCAUUAAGUACUCCACCUGAGGACUACGGUCGCAAGGCUAAAACUCAAAGGAAUUGACGGGGGCCCGCACAAGCGGUGGAACAUGUGGUUUAAUUCGAUGGUACGCGAAAAACCUCACCAAGGCUUGACAUACAAGAAGUAGUGAACUGAAAGGGGAACGAGCCGUCAAAUCGGCAGCUUGUACAGGUGCUGCAUGGCUGUCGUCAGCUCGUGUCGUGAGAUGUUGGGUUAAGUCCCGCAACGAGCGCAACCAUUAUUCUAUGUUGCUAAGGUAUUUGUCGCAAGACGAGUACCAGCACUCUUAGAAGACUGCCUGGGAUAACCAGGAGGAAGGUGGAGAUGACGUCAAGUCAGUACGGCCCUUAUGCCUUGGGCUACACACGUGUUACAAUGGCAGGUACAAAGGGCUGCCAACCCGUGAGGGGGGAGCUAAUCUCUAAAAACCUGCCCCAGUUCAGAUUGGAGUCUGCAAUUCGACUCCAUGAAGCCGGAAUCGCUAGUAAUGGAAGAUCAGCACGCUUCCGUGAAUACGUUCCCGGGCCUUGUACACACCGCCCGUCAAGCGAUGGGAGUUAGGAGUACCCGAAGUCCUACGUAGGUAGGCCGAAGGUAAGACUAAUGACUGGCGCU